rnacentral:rRNA from 1 species
CCUACGGGAGGCAGCAGUAGGGAAUCUUCCGCAAUGGACGAAAGUCUGACGGAGCAACGCCGCGUGAACGAUGAAGGCCUUCGGGUCGUAAAGUUCUGUUGUUAGGGAAGAGCAAGUGCUAGUUGAAUAAGCUGGCACCUUGACGGUACCUAACCAGAAAGCCACGGCUAACUACGUGCCAGCAGCCGCGGUAAUACGUAGGUGGCAAGCGUUGUCCGGAAUUAUUGGGCGUAAAGCGCGCGCAGGCGGUUUCUUAAGUCUGAUGUGAAAGCCCCCGGCUCAACCGGGGAGGGUCAUUGGAAACUGGGAAACUUGAGUGCAGAAGAGGAAAGUGGAAUUCCAAGUGUAGCGGUGAAAUGCGUAGAGAUUUGGAGGAACACCAGUGGCGAAGGCGACUUUCUGGUCUGUAACUGACGCUGAGGCGCGAAAGCGUGGGGAGCAAACAGGAUUAGAUACCCUGGUAGUCCACGCUGUAAACGAUGAGUGCUAAGUGUUAGAGGGUUUCCGCCCUUUAGUGCUGAAGUUAACGCAUUAAGCACUCCGCCUGGGGAUACGGUCGCAAGACUGAAACUCAAAGGAAUUGACGG